rnacentral:tRNA from 1 species
GCCCCGAUCGUCUAGCCCGGUUAAAUUGAAACUGUUAUAUUUGUAAUAGUUUUGAUGCCGUUAGGACACUGCCCUCUCACGGCAGUAGCACGGGUUCAAAUCCCGUUCGGGGCA